CAGGCAGUGGUGCUGCACAGCCAGAGAUCCCCUACUCCAGUUGAGUAAGUUUGACUUUUUUUUUCCUUUGUUUUUUUUCUUUGUAUGACUGGUGGCCUACCUAUCUGCACAAAGUCUUGGAGCUGCUUGGCUCUAGGAGACAUGAACCUGUACCCUGUGUGUGCAGUGCUACAGUAAUUCACCAACCUGAUGUCUUUGUGCUAGACCAAGUCUUGGUGAUCAUAACUUGUCUAGAUCUGCCCCAAAGCAAGAGGUGGAGCCUGUGUGCGUGGGGACACUUGCCUGGGUAAUGUGAUGCAAAGGGGUUGGCCUUCCAGAUCAACACAUUAUUCUUCUCACGUCGAGAGAGUGGACAUGAAUAUCUGGCAGAUGUAUAAUAACGUGAAAUACUGGGCCCCUGAGUGCUGGCUGGCAAUAUGUUCCAUCAGAACUAGAAUGAAGCAUUCUCAUUGGAGACCUUGAAACGCUCCUUGAUUAGGCAGGUGUUAUUAAUCUUGUGUUGUCUGACAUUAAACCUCAGACAGGUGUGCAAAGUCAAAUUCAGUGCUGUGGUGCUGCUGACUGUCACUGCUGGCCUCCAAGCCAAAGUGUUCUGAGUUUGUGAUUCAUCAGGACUUUGUCAUCUGCUCACCACACAGACAAGCAAAUGGAAAGACCAGCUUGGAUGUGGUAGGAUCACCAGGUGAAGCCUUACCAGUGUGUCAGUGAUUAAUUGAAAAUGCAAGAAAAACAGAAUGCAAGUCUCAGUGUAAAAUGGUGAUGACUACUUGUCAGCUGGUCUUGGAAGAGGGACUUGGACAUUGGUAUUAAACUUCAAAAUGCUGGAAGACUUGCCCUCUAUUGACUAAAUAGUAUUUGGCAUAACAGAAAGCUGUAAAAGGGCUACUUGUAGAAGUGGAGGCCAGAGGCAAGCUUCAAGGAAAGUUAUGCUCUGGUAAUAAAGGCAGAUGUGGAAGGAGCUAGUUCUGGUGUUGGUCAAAUUGACGCUCAGAAUCCCAGAGUUAAGAGAUUUGGCUUUACAUCGUGGCAAUGCCCUGAUAUAAGCUAGAGCAAAGUAUCAAAUUUUAGCCCUGUAUUUCUUUAGUCAUAGUAAUCACGCAAACUGUUGUUUUCUGUAGUUUUUUUUCCUUUUUUUUUUCUGAGCAUGGGUCACAGACUUCACCUCAAAAUGUGACUGAGUUUAGGCAGAAUUAGAGAGAAAGCAGAGCCCUGAUUCAUAGCACACCAUUUAAUCUCGGUCUUCUAGAGGGAAGGGAAUUGUUUUACUAGUUCUGCUCAUGAAUCCCUUUUUCAAGACACACAUAUAGUGAGUUAAUGUUAUGCUAAUGCAUCUCCAUCUCAAGGGAGUAUCAAAAUGCAGAAGAUCAACCACGUUACGAUUUAUCCUCCUUCCCUGCCCAAGUUGGAGGUAGGCAGUUCCUCAGUUGCAGGUGAAGAUAUAAAAUGAUCUUUUCAAAACGUUGAGAAGCAUGAGCAGUGUCCUGCAGCUGACUUUAUGCUGCCAAGCCUAGUUUGUUCUACUUAGUCAUUACAGCUGUUGACUCUGUGUGUUACUGCAUAGAACAUGUAGAUACUGCUGCCUUAAGACCUGGCAGUAGGAUACGGGGUAUUCUGUGAUCUUGCAGUAGAAUUUCCAUGGGUAAUCAGCAAGUCUUAAUGACAUGGAAAGGGCAAUUAACAUUUUGUUAAUGGAAAACAUAUUUGAUCUGUAUCCAUAUACUUAUCGUAUGCAUUGAUAUAAAGUUAAUACAGAGACUUUCUGGAAUGGAGAUAAUUGCAGAACAGUUCUGUUUUUUUUUUCCAGCUGACAAGCAAUUUGUGAAAAUGAUAAUAAAUUAUUGCACGAUGCGUGGAAAGCAUAGACACAGUCAGAUCAAGCAUUUCAAAGUGUUCUCUUGUUUAAACAGCUUAUUAAAUUGUUAAUGACUCUGAAAGUUUUGCAUAUUGUUAUUUAAAAACA